CGAAUAAUGUGCAUCAGUUUCUUCACCUGGAGCUCCUGAGAAACCACUGCAGGGGGGAGAAGGCCGCGCAAGUAGUGGGCAUCUCUCUCUUUAUCAUUGAAGGCAAGUCCUUUGUUGUGGUGUGGAUCUCGCAACAAAGAAUAUCCAGCAGCAACAGAGAGGGUCCAAGGCGUGACAAACUGGUCCUCGGUGGCUGUAUCCUCACCGUAAACAUCGCGGACGCCACCAGCAACGGUGGACUUGGGGUCCAAGUCAAGCACAGAGGCUUCGUCUCUCAUUCCCUGAAGCGUGCUCUCCAUCAAGACACUGCCGUUUCGUUCCCUAUUUGGAUUCAG
rnacentral:misc_RNA from 1 species